UGAGCAACCUGCCCCUGACUCCGGGAUAAGCGGUGGAAACGCCGUCUAAUACCGGAUACGACCCGCCACCUCAUGGUGGAGGGUGGAAAGGUUUUCGGUCAGGGAUGGGCUCGCGGCCUAUCAGCUUGUUGGUGGGGUAACGGCCUACCAAGGCGAUUACGGGUAGCCGGCCUGAGAGGGCGACCGGCCACACUGGGACUGAGACACGGCCCAGACUCCUGCGGGAGGCAGCAGUGGGGAAUAUUGCGCAAUGGGCGAAAGCCUGACGCAGCGACGCCGCGUGGGGGAUGACGGCCUGCGGGUUGUAAACCUCUUUUACCACCAACGCAGGCCCGGAGUUCUCUUCGGGUUGACGGUAGGUGGGGAAUAAGGACCGGCUAACUACGUGCCAGCAGCCGCGGUAAUACGUAGGGUCCGAGCGUUGUCCGGAAUUAUUGGGCGUAAAGAGCUCGUAGGCGGCGUGUCGCGUCUGCUGUGAAAGACCGGGGCUUAACUCCGGUUCUGCAGUGGAUACGGGCAUGCUAGAGGUAGGUAGGGGAGACUGGAAUUCCUGGUGUAGCGGUGAAAUGCGCAGAUAUCAGGAGGAACACCGGUGGCGAAGGCGGGUCUCUGGGCCUUACCUGACGCUGAGGAGCGAAAGCAUGGGGAGCGAACAGGAUUAGAUACCCUGGUAGUCCAUGCCGUAAACGUUGGGCGCUAGGGGUGGGGACUUUCCACGGUUUCCGCGCCGUAGCUAACGCAUUAAGCGCCCCGCCUGGGGAGUACGGCCGCAAGGCUAAAACUCAAAGGAAUUGACGGGGGCCCGCACAAGCGGCGGAGCAUGUUGCUUAAUUCGACGCAACGCGAAGAACCUUACCAAGGUUUGACAUCACCCGUGGACUCGCAGAGAUGUGAGGUCAUUUAGUUGGCGGGUGACAGGUGGUGCAUGGCUGUCGUCAGCUCGUGUCGUGAGAUGUUGGGUUAAGUCCCGCAACGAGCGCAACCCUUGUUCCAGGUUGCCAGCACGUAAUGGUGGGGACUCAUGGGAGACUGCCGGGGUCAACUCGGAGGAAGGUGGGGAUGACGUCAAGUCAUCAUGCCCCUUAUGUCUUGGGCUGCAAACAUGCUACAAUGGCCGGUACAAUGGGCGUGCGAUACCGUAAGGUGGAGCGAAUCCCUAAAAGCCGGUCUCAGUUCGGAUUGGGGUCUGCAACUCGACCCCAUGAAGGUGGAGGCGC
rnacentral:rRNA from 1 species